rnacentral:rRNA from 1 species
UACGUAGGGUGCGAGCGUUGUCCGGAAUUACUGGGCGUAAAGCGCUCGUAGGUGGUUUGUCGCGUUGUUCGUGAAAACCGGGGGCUUAACCUUCGGCGUGCGGGCGAUACGGGCAGACUGGAGUACUGCAGGGGAGACUGGAAUUCCUGGUGUAGCGGUGGAAUGCGCAGAUAUCAGGAGGAACACCGGUGGCGAAGGCGGGGCGCGGGGCCGAUACUGACGCUGAGGAGCGAAAGCGUGGGGAGCAAACAGG